rnacentral:rRNA from 1 species
AAAUUGAAGGGUACCGGCGUGCNUAUGNACUGCAAGACCAACGGAAAUUGAGCAUAGCUUGCUAAGCUCAAUUUUAGUGGCGGACGGGUUAGUAACACGUGAGAUACAUACCCUUUAGACAGGAAUAGCCCAUGGAAACGUGGAUUAAUGCCUGAUAGUCUCUACGGAGUAAAUGGUGCCUUCGGGUGCCGCUAAAGGAUUGGCUCGCGGCCUAUCAGUUUGUUGGUGAGGUAAAGGCUCACCAAGACUACGACGGGUAGCUGGUCUGAGAGGACGAUCAGCAACACUGGAACUGAGACACGGUCCAGACACCUACGGGUGGCAGCAGUCGAGAAUCAUUCACAAUGGACGCAAGUCUGAUGGUGCAACGCCGCGUGGAGGAUGACGGCCCUAGGGUUGUAAACUCCUGUCAUUGGGGAGUAAGACUUAGUUGUUAAUAGCUUCUAAGUUUGAUAGUACCCAAAGAGGAAGGGACGGCUAACUUCGUGCCAGCAGCCGCGGUAAUACGAAGGUCCCAAGCGUUGUUCGGAAUAACUGGGCGUAAAGCGUGUGUAGGCUGCGCGGAAAGUCAAAUGUGAAAGCCCAGGGGCUUAACCCUGGAACUGCAUUCGAUACUCCCGUGCUAGAGUAAUGGAGAGGUAAGUGGAAUUCCCNGUGUAGCAGUGAAAUGCGUAAAUAUCGGGAGGGACAUCAAUGGCGGAAGGCACUUACUGNACAUUUACUGACGCUCAGACCCGAAGCUAGGGAAGCGAAGGGGAUAGAUACCCCUGUAGUCCUAG